GAUGGGCCUGCGGCGCAUUAGCUAGUUGGUGGGGUAACGGCUCACCAAGGCGACGAUGCGUAGCCGACCUGAGAGGGUGAACGGCCACACUGGGACUGAGACACGGCCCAGACUCCUACGGGAGGCAGCAGUAGGGAAUCUUCCGCAAUGGGCGCAAGCCUGACGGAGCAAUGCCGCGUGAGUGAUGAAGGUUUUCGGAUCGUAAAGCUCUGUUGCCAGGGAAGAACGUCUUAUAGAGUAACUGCUAUAAGAGUGACGGUACCUGAGAAGAAAGCCCCGGCUAACUACGUGCCAGCAGCCGCGGUAAUACGUAGGGGGCAAGCGUUGUCCGGAAUUAUUGGGCGUAAAGCGCGCGCAGGCGGCUAUUUAAGUCUGGUGUUUAAACCUUGGGCUCAACCUGAGGUCGCACUGGAAACUGGGUGGCUUGAGUACAGAAGAGGAAAGUGGAAUUCCACGUGUAGCGGUGAAAUGCGUAGAUAUGUGGAGGAACACCAGUGGCGAAGGCGACUUUCUGGGCUGUAACUGACGCUGAGGCGCGAAAGCGUGNGGAGCAAACAGGAUUAGAUACCCUGGUAGUCCACGC
rnacentral:rRNA from 1 species